GUUCCUUUGUUUGACAUUGAGAUACUAAUUUUGGGUGUUGGUGCACCAAAUGUAGUUUCUUAUAAUCGAUGAAGCCGACCGAAUAUUGGAGGCUAACUUUGAGGAAGACAUGGAGCAAAUAUUUAAGCGGCUGCCAAAGACAAGGCAAACUGCUCUAUUUACAGCUACCCAAACUAAGCAGGUUGAGGAUUUUGCGAACUUGUCAUUUAAGGAAAAGCCUGUAUAUGUAGGUGUUGAUGAUGGAAGGUCGAAGGUAAUCUCCAGAUUUAUUUUAUCAUUGUU